GAUCCUGGCUCAGGAUGAACGCUGGCGGCGUGCUUAACACAUGCAAGUCGAACGGGAAACAUUUUAUUGAAGCUUCGGCAGAUUUAGCUUGUUUCUAGUGGCGGACGGGUGAGUAACGCGUGGGUAACCUGCCUUAUACUGGGGGAUAACAGCCAGAAAUGACUGCUAAUACCGCAUAAGCGCACAGGACCGCAUGGUUCGGUGUGAAAAACUCCGGUGGUAUAAGAUGGACCCGCGUUGGAUUAG
rnacentral:rRNA from 1 species